rnacentral:lncRNA from 1 species
AUUUUCCUUUCAGGGUAAAGCGGCGCAUAAAAAAGGGCUGGCCCGUCAAACGUCCGGUUCCUUCGCGAACGAAGUUCAGAAUCAACAAGGGUUCGUAGAACGAAGGGAGUGUACAACUGGGGCGCAGCCCCACUUUUUUGUUCGUAACGAGGGAGAGAUAGAAUGGAGUUCUUCACGAAGUUCGAGACAAAGUAAUACAAAACUUCUCUAUGGCCUCCUCGUUUUGAGACAUUAUGGCUUUGGGGUCGACCCCGGUAACAAAGAAGGAAUCCAUAAAAACGUGGGAUCCGACACCAUGAUAAAAUACUACCCUCAUGAUUAGACCAUGUCCCUGAGAUUUGAUAAAAGAAAGGUGCAUUAGCGGUUAAUACGUUGUAAUUGGAUAAGUUAUUAGGAAUAUGACGGAACGAAAGACCAAGGAAAGAAAGAAGAAUGCACCAAAAUGCAGGUGCUGCACCAAACGCUGGUGGUUAAAAGAAAGGUGCAUUAGCGGUUAAUACGUUGUAAUUGGAUAAGUUAUUAGGAAUAUGACGGAACGAAAGACCAAGGAAAGAAAGAAGAAUGCACCAAAAUGCAGGUGCUGC